AAAUAAGAAACAAUGAUUUGUAUUUAGUUUCGACCUAAAAAUUUGGUGUUAUACACCCUUAUUUA
rnacentral:tRNA from 1 species